GCUCUGUCCUUAUCUUUGCUGACACUAACCACAUACAGUCUCUUCUUGCUCUUUGGUUUCUUCUGUGGGAAGUUGUAUUUUGACAUCGGAGAUAAACCAGCCCAAACUCACCGGUCAUCGUGAGAUUCCUGGGAACAGCAUGGUGAGGAGUCAGUGAACACUGCUACAGAGAUUUCCAGUGAUCACACUACGUUCCCUCAAGAAGCAAAUGACAACCAAGGAACUAUAUUCAUUUUACCACCAGAAACAUGACAGCCACCAGCUGCAGCGUAGACUAAUUUUCACAGAAAUCUUCCUUGGCUUCCUUGAAGCCAUUAAGUGCUUCAACCGCUCCAAAGGUAACCAGCUGCAGGAUAUUCUGAAUGACUGAAAACAUGAUCAAAAAACAACAGUGUGAGCCAGGGAAAACUCUGGCAGGAGAGCACCACCCACACAAAGAAAUACUUACUAAAUUCAUCUCGGAGACAGGAUAUCUGCUCAACUUAGGGGAGUUCUUUCUGCUCAGUGGGAAAAUCAACCGGAAGAUGUGCAGCAGUCAUAACAAGACAGAGCUUGUGCAGUAGUCAGAGUCUCACACAUCCUUUCCUGCUGGGUCCCCAACUCUUCCUGGAAGAAACUGAGGAUGGAGCCUUUCACAUCCAGGAUAUUACAUGAAAGUUGCACAGAAAACUGAUAUAUCUCCAAUGACUCACCUGCACCUUUGGAAAAGUCAGUGUUUUUGGGAAACCCAGGCUAUUUGUUUCCAUCUCCAUCAACUCCCUGUGAUACAAACUACUGCACUGUUUACUGGAAGAGCCUGAACAGAAAGUCUACAACUUCAUAUCCACUAGAGCUUGGUUCAGUUCUUUUGCAUUUACAGAAGGCUGGCAGUGAAAUAGCAAAUUGUAUAAUGAGCUUCAAAGGGUCAUGCUGAUAUGAAAUGCAGAGACAGCCCUGAAAUCUGCUGAGGAACCACCCAGAAAGAGCCUGUACAUGCUCAAAUUUCUCACAUCCACCACGUAGCAAUGCAUUCUGCUAACAAGACCAACUAAAUGAACAUUUCUUUUGCUUGUACUUCAAAUUCUUCAUCAAAUGCUGUUUCAGUUUGCUUCACUGCAAUACUGGAAAAUGCCAGGUGUAUCUGGCAGUGUAGGAUAUAUGUAGCUCCCAGAAGUGCCCUGUACAUUUGCAAGAAAUGAAAUUAUUAAUUAUCUCUGUAUUUAUGUACCUAUUUGAUUCACAAGCUUGAUAGGUUCACUCUAGUGGCUGAUUUACGUGAAUGUUCCUGGGACUGCAUUACUGCAUAAUUAAUCUUUAUAGCAAAGUGGCCUUGUUUCCACAUGGAUGCUGCUUAAAAAAUUGCAUUCAUUUGCACUAUGGAGGCAUAGGCAAUAGGUGGAAAUAUCAAAAUGAGCUGUUCACUCCCUGUUCUGAAAUGGAUGAAAUCUAAAGCUAGUCUUCAUCUAGAUUGGAAGAAGAUGAUCCAGAGAUAUAGCACAGGAAAACCUCACUGAUAUAAAGCUGGGAGGAGUGACUGACACCAGAAGACUGUGCCUUCAGCAAGACUUGGACAGACUGGAAAGUUGUGCAGGGAGAAACCUCAUUGAUUAACCUUGAUUAACAAGAGCAAGUGUAGAGUCUUGCUCCUGUGGUGGGAUAACCAUGUGCAUCGGUACAGGUUAGGGGAUGACCUGUGGAGAGGAGUUCUGCAGAGAAGGACCUGGGUAUUCUGGUGGACAACAGGCUGGCCAUGAGCCAGCAGUGGGCCCUUGUAGCCAAGUAGGACAAUAGUAUUCUGGGGCACAUUCAAAAGAGUGUGGUCAGCAUGUCAAAGAAGGUGAUCCUCCCCCUCUACUAUGCUCUGGUGAGACCACAUUUAGACUACUAUGUCCAGUUCUGGGCUCCCCAGUUCAAAAAAAAAAAAAAACAGGGACCUCCUAGAAGGAGUCCAGCAGGGGGCCGUAAGGAUGAUAAAGGGCCUAGAGAUCUCCCUUAUGAGGAAAGAUUGAGACACCUGGAUCUGUUCAGCCUGGAGAAAGAAGUCUGAGGGGGUAUCUGAUUAAUGUUUAUAAAUAUCUGAAUAGAGGUGGGAAGCAAAUGGAGGAGGCCGGGCUCCUCUUAGUGGUGCACAGCAAUAGGACAAGGAGUAAUGGCCUAAAACUUGAACAUAGGAAGUUCUAUGUAAAUAUGCUUAAGAACUUCUGUACGGUAGGGGUGACUAACCACUAGAACAGGUUGCCCAGAGAGGUUGUGGAGUCUCCUUCUCAGGAAAUACUCAAGACCUGGCUGAACAUCUACCUGUACAACUUAUCAGAGCAGGGGGCUUGGACUCGAUGAUCUCUUGAGGUCCCUUCCAGCUCCUGAGAUUCUGUGAUUCUGAAACAGCAUGCAACAGAUCAGAUAUUUUUUCUUUUGAAACUGGACCUUAAAAAUACAUAUAUAUUUUUUGUUAUCCAAGGAAAUUAACCUGCUUUCUUCAGGUCAAAUAAAUUAUCUGUGGAUAC
ensembl:lncRNA